rnacentral:rRNA from 1 species
GCAACGCGAAGAACCUUACCUGGUCUUGACAUCCCGGAGACCCUUAGGAAACUAGGGGUGCUCCAUCUGGAAGAAUCUGGAGACAGGUGCUGCAUGGCUGUCGUCAGCUCGUGUCGUGAGAUGUUGGGUUAAGUCCCGCAACGAGCGCAACCCUUGCCUUUAGUUGCCAGCAGUUCGGCUGGGCACUCUAAAGGGACUGCCGGUGUUAAACCGGAGGAAGGUGGGGAUGACGUCAAGUCCUCAUGGCCUUUAUGACCAGGGCUACACACGUACUACAAUGGCCGAUACAAAGGGCAGCGACACUGCGAGGUGAAGCCAAUCCCGUAAAAUCGGUCUCAGUCCGGAUUGGAGUCUGCAACUCGACUCCAUGAAGUUGGAAUCGCUAGUAAUCGUGGAUCAGCAUGCCACGGUGAAUACGUUCCCGGGCCUU